UUUCCCUCUGUCUAGAUGAUCAUUGAAGCCAUAAAGUGGCCCCUUGCCAAAGAGAAGGGUAGUGAUGCCACAGAGCAUGGUAGUGAUGACAGUGAAGAUGAAGUUGCACCAGCCGCAGUCAGCGCCAUUGCAAAGUUUUUUAAAACCUUUGUCGAGCAAGCAUCACCAGACCUUCUGCGGCAGCUGCUUAGGUUCUGGACCGGCUGGGAAGUGCUUGUUGAAAGCCUCAGCCUAGAGGUGGUACAGUCACGUGGGCGUAACCACCUGCCAACAGCAAGCACGUGUUAUGAGCGCUUGCGAAUUCCUGACCAUUACAAGACUUUUGCAUCUUUACAGUCUGAUCUCAUGAUUUGUCUCAGAUCAGUGGAGAGUGGCUUUGGUCUGAUUUAACUAUGCAACUCAGUGCUGUUGCAAUUUGUUCUCUUUUCAGUGCAAUAUUUCAGAAUCGUUCCUUCCUUCAGUAAGGGUCACAACAGCACUAUCAGUGAGUGUUAGUAGAGUUGUGUUAACUGUCUUCAAGGCACAAACAAAAGUUUUCAGAAUGUUGUCCAUCACAAUGGAUGUCAAAAACCCAAAAGUGUGUCAAAGUUGUGUUCCAUGUAAUUGUGAACUCUUAACAUUACUCUAGCAAACUUUCAACAUACUGUAGAGCAGUCAGAUAAAUGUCAACACCACUAGACUCUGAUGGCUGCAUGGGGUCAAUGAGGUGCUUCAGUGUCUCCAGUUGGUCAGGAGUGAGAGGGCUCUCCAGUUGGGGAACAUUUACUCCAAGGUCUGGUUGUGGGACCUCCCCACUCUCCUCCCAGUCGAUCUCAGGAAUGUUCAUCUCCUUAUUUGUUGAAAAAAAAAUUUAAUUAGAACAUACUUAUUUUGUCAUCUAAGAUUUUAGGCAGGAAACAUAUGACAAUAAAUGGUUUGUGUUAUUAUAUCAUAUUUUAUCACAGAGUUUCAUUGUUCCUUUUACCUCUCUAAGGUUACUAUACACAGAAUAGUAAAAAUGGUGGGACCAAAGAGAUGUUAGCACUAAUGUUAUGAUUCAACAUGUGACAUCAAAUACACAGCUUUGUAUAAUUGUAGGUCAUGGAACUUUCAUUCAGGCUCAUGUGUCAACCAGGCUAACUUUGACC
rnacentral:lncRNA from 1 species